AGGAGCACGCAGCUGCUGAUUGGCUAAAGGUAAUCCUAUGCCGCCCCUGAUUGGCUGUGGGGCGGACGCGCUCUCUGGGAGGCCCGCUGGCAGGACCCACAGUGACAGUUGGGCGUCCACACCGCCUUCGCUGCGCACAGGACACAGAGUGACUGACCCUACGGGGCCCGAGCUGUCUUGCUGGUGUCCCCGGCAUUCGUCGGGUGAGGGACCUGCCUUGGGGCUCCACACACUGGGCUUCCCGGAGAAUCAGGCUCCCCGUCAGGCGGGGACUCACUGGCCUCCCUGACCCGAGGCGGCCGAGCCCCUUGGUGGCGCAGAGCCCGGUUCCGCGUCCGUCGUGCGGCCACACCGCGGACCGUCGGUGGCUCACAGCAGCCGUCUGUGCUGCUCAGCCCGGCACCGCGCGGGGCGCCCGGCCAGCACGGAGGGCAGCGGGUCAUCCGCCCCGUGAGGGACCAGGCUGGGGAGCUGUGGCCUCACAGAGCUCACCUGCAAAAGCCUUGCCUCCUGUCUCAGGCGCAGUGAGAGGCCCACCCACCUGAGCUUGGCAGAAAACGCCUUGAAAGACGAAGGGGCCAGGCAUAUUCGGAACACCUUAGAACACUUGACGUGUCCUCUGCGGAGGCUGGUGUAAGUCCCAAGGUAUUUUCUUCUUGGAACUCACUGAAGCAGAGCAGGGGGAUUGAGAGAACCUGUCAUGCAUUCAUUUAUUAAGUGCCUGCUGCACGCUGGGCACUGUGCUGAUGUGGGGGUAGGGGCGGAGCAUAAUAAAGAGGAGGGCUGCUAUCACUUCCAUCCAGAGGCAGAUUAUCCACUGUCAGAGUCCUCCGCUGUGUGCCAGUGCCCCAGAGUGAGCUCACAGAGGGGCUGCAGGGCGAUUUCAAUUUAGGGAAUACUGACAUCUGUUCAUCACUGCAAGAACUUCUAGCUCGAGGUCAUUCGUUACAGCGUGAGAUUGUGGGCUAAUUCCUUUUAUAUGACAUCAUGUGUUUGCAAAGCUAGGUUUGCAGCCAUUGCUGUCAUGGGAGCAAGUGCAUCACGAUAUUUAAUGAGGAGCAAAGAUGAUGUAAAGAAAAGAAAAGUACUGAGAUGCUAAGAAGGGUGUGAACCGAGAAAGUCUGGAGACCUCUGAUGGAAUGUGCUCCCUGCCUCCUGGACAUCCGAGUGAGCGCCACGCCUCUGAGAUCAGAGUAAUGCACUGGGACCUGGCUUCCUGCUCUGAGAAGCAGGUCAUGUCGCUCACUCAACAGAAUGGACCAGAAAACACUAAAGAACAUCAGCUUGGGUAUUUAUCCCAACAUAUCAUGAAUUCUUCCAAUAGUUUCCUUCAAUUUCCUUGAAGUGUCAGGGUUCUUUUGUCCUUUAUUAAUGGGAAAUAAACUCAAGCUGUCUUAUGCUGUAAAGAAGUUUGCUGGCUCAGAAAACCACAGGGCAGAGGUAGAACAGCCUUUACGCUUGGUCCCCGGGACCUCUUCCAACAGGAGCACGUACAACAGGACGCCGCUACCAAGGGUCAAUGCCAGGGGUGCCUUCACAUUUGUCACAGUCACUCAGAAUUCAGAGUUUAGAAUGUGGCACUUUCCUUUUCAUGAUGUCAUGUCUUUGGGGAGAACCUCAGUGUUCCCAGGUGAGUGAGUGGAGGUCACAUGCCUGAGCCCUGAUGGGCGGGGACAAUGGCAUCUCUACCUUCGCCAUCCAAGACAGCCACAAAUCACAACUACAAAAGCAUCCAGCUUCAAGACGUGGGGUAUAGGCACAACUGGUAAUGGCAACUUAAUGCAACAAGUGCUUCGGGAGGGAAGCCACAAGGUGCUGUUGUAACAGGUGGAUGCCAAAGCUGGAAGGUGCCUGUUUACCUCCGCCUGCUGCGAGACUAUGGCCUCCACACUCCGCAGCAACAAAACCCUGAGCUCUCUGGUCUUGAGCAAGAAUGACAUUGGAGUCCACGGCAUACUGACCUUGUGUGGGGCCUUCUCGAGCCAAAAGCAGAGAGAAGAGGUCAUUUUGUAAGUCUCCGCUAGGUCCCUGUGCAAAAACGAUCACCCAAUAACAAAGGUCCUUCUAGAGAGUGGAAUGCUGGACCUAGAAUGCUGUUGAAGACGCUGCCACCGUAUGCUUUCAGUGCCUGCGGUGCGCAGGUGCCUUGCUGUGGCUGCUCCAACCCCAACUCCUGCCUUCAUCUGACAGAA